AUGCCCAGCCUAGUUAAAUGUAAGCAAGCAUGGUUUAACAGGGUAACAAAUGUUUGUCUUACUCCUAUCUGGUUCUAUAUGAACAAGUCUGGGUUAUAGAAAUGUUUGUUUCAUCCUGAUCUUGUUCAAUGUGAACUAGUCUGGAUUAUAGCAGGGUUGCCAACUCCCACGGCGUGAGACAAAAACUCACGCAAAAACGUCCUUACUCACGCUGAAACAAUCCUCACGCCACGUGAGGUAUAAAUCUCACGCAUUCGAAAAUAUUCUCCCUCUAUCCCACGCGAAGCCAUAAAUCGGCAAUUUUUAGCUUGAGUCGUACAAAGGGGAAUAACUCUUAUUGCAACGUUGUGCUUUGGAAGUGAGCUGACGAGAGGUGUCGCUUUACAUCCGGUGGAAACGAAUGUAAUAUAUCGUAAGGUCAUGGAAAUACAGAAAAAAGACUGCUACCUGUUCUAGGCAAGGGUGGAAUCGUUACAAGAAAGGCCUUUGAUUAUAUGAUGUGUUGCAUUUCUGAUGUCAGUUUUUUUUGUGUAAUAAAUAAAAAUCUUUUAUAUAUCUGC